AUUGGAUUGGAUCUAUUUUAAUUAGACUCUUAUCCAACUUGAAAGUGUUUCAAGUGUGGAAGGAGACCUCCACACCCACUAAGUUUCACAUCCAAAAAUAAAUGCAGCCCAUCUUUAUUUACGUUGAGAAGUGGAAGAGUCCUUCUUCAUGAAGACUCUUAUCCAUCUCCUCAUUUUUCCUCCAAUUUCUUAAUUAUCACAUGCAAAUUUUAACUUGGAAUUUAUGGGGUACAGAAGAGGA
rnacentral:lncRNA from 1 species